UUUUUUUUCUUACGCUGAUGAAGAGUAGGUGCUGCUGAACUUUAUUUCCCAUGAUCCCGUGCGGUUUUGCCUCUGCUCGCGCGCACGCAGCAUGUCAACAAACACCAAAGUCAAACUGCAGUGAAUCCGGGACGCAACAGAUAUCACAGUAUGAUCGUAUAUGUGCGGUUUAACUCCAGCCAUGGGUUCCCGGUGGAACUGGAACAGGGUGCGAGUGUAGCUGAGCUGAAAGAGACGGUGGGGCAUUUACAGGGCGUACAGCCUGAUCGACUGCGGGUUAUCUUUGCUGGACGAGAGCUCUGCAAUGAAUCCACACUUCAGGGCUGCGAUCUCCCCGAGCAGAGCACAGUUCAUGUGGUUCUGCCCCCGUCCACCUCGACCCAGCGCUCUGAGCUGGUCCAGCAGCGCAGGCUGGGCGGCAGGAUUGAAAGCUUGACCCGACUCGACCUCAGUGGCUCCCGUCUGACCACCGUGUCUGAAGGCCUGGCUGUCAUUCUGGAGACAGAUGCGUCCAGACAGGGGAACUCCGUUGGACACACAGAAGCAAAAGCCCACAGCAGUUUCUAUGUGUUCUGUAAGACGGUCUGCAAGGCCAUUCAGCCUGGAAAACUACGUGUUCGGUGCAGAGACUGCAAACAAGGCACUCUUACUCUCAGCAGGGGGCCGAGCUGCUGGGAUGACGUCCUUCUCCCUAACAGGAUUCAUGGAGUAUGUCAGUCACAAGACUGUGAUGGCAGAUUGGCGGAGUUCUACCUGAAAUGUGCUGCCCACCCCACCUGUGAUAAUGACACUUCAGCAGCACUGGACUUGAUAAUGCCCAACACACGCAGAGUGCCCUGCAUCGCCUGCACUGACAUCAUGACUCUGGUGCUGGUGUUUCAGUGUGCCGAGCGUCAUGUGAUCUGCCUGGAGUGCUUCCACCUGUACUGUGUGACCAGACUCAAUGAGCGACAGUUUACCCAGGAGCCGCUGGUGGGCUACUCUCUGCCCUGUGCAGCCGGCUGUCCUGAUUCGCUCAUUAAAGAGGUUCAUCAUUUCCGAGUCCUGGGAGAUGAGCAGUAUGAGCGCUACCAGCGAUACGCGGCGGAGGAGUGUGUUCUUCAGAUGGGAGGAGUUCUGUGUCCCGCUCCAGGAUGUGGUGCUGGGCUGCUUCCUGUGGAUGAUGGCAGGAGAGUCCGCUGUGAGUUGGGGAAUGGACUCGGCUGUGGGUUUGUGUUUUGCAGGGACUGUAAGGCAGAGUUUCACGAGGACCCCUGCAGACAGAGGACAGACACAGCAACAGGAAGUGCCCUGCAGGGCUAUAUUGCAGAUGAAGAUGCGGCUCUUCAUGCCCGCUGGGAACAGGCUUCACAGGAAACUAUAGCCGAAACCACUCACCUUUGCCCCAAAUGCCAAGUUCCUGUGGAAAAAAACGGUGGCUGUAUGCACAUGGUGUGUCCGCGUCCACAGUGUAAGUUUGAAUGGUGUUGGUUCUGUCACGUGGAGUGGAACAGAGAAUGUAUGGGCAACCACUGGUUCGGAUGAGUCGGAUACACUCUCACCAUCAGCUGAAACUCAGGAAAUGAAGCCAAACCUCUAAUCAUUAGCAGUAUUGUGAGUCUCUCAGUGUUGUCUGCUCAUCGGUAUAACCAGGGCUGGUUUAUGAACCGGACCAGCGGGGCCAGUGUCCAGGGGCCUUGAACUGCCAGGAACCUCCAAAGCCUCAAACCACAGAGAAACUGAACACCAAGGUCCUCAAAUCCAGGCCAAGGCUGAAAGUAUCAAUAAUAAGUAGUUUAGGCUUCUUAAAAUCGACUAUUUUACCUAUUAUUAAUCCGUUUUUAUGGUUAUUAGAGUUUUGUGUUAACAGCAAAGUCCAUUGAAAUCAAUUCUAAUGUAGUUGCUGGUAAUGUAGAACGUUCCAAAUCUGUCACUGUUGAGGAUCCUUGUUAGGAUGCUGCCUUAGAAGACAGCUUGCUGUCUUGCAUGUUUCAGAACAAGUCCACACAAUGCUUAUAUCUAGUUUAUAUGAUGAUUCGAUGACCCUUGAUGGACAUAUUCUGUUGAAACAGGACACAGUACUGGUGCUAUAGAUGGACCCUAAACAAUCCUGUGCUGUUGCCCUGCGACCUCUAGUUAAACAUUAUGAGAUAAGUGUUAGUUCAGUAUGAUUUAUUACAGGGAGGGUGUAACUGGAUGUCUAACACGUGUGCUAACGACUCACAGUAAAGAUUAACUGAGA